GCGAGAGUGGCGGAAUUGGUAGACGCACUGGACUUAGGAUCCAGCCCGUCUGAGACGGAUGGGGGUUCAAAUCCCCCCUCUCGCACCA
rnacentral:tRNA from 1 species